GAUGAACGCUAGCGGCAGGCCUAAUACAUGCAAGUCGAACGGUGUAGCAAUACACAGUGGCGCACGGGUGCGUAACACGUAUGCAACCUACCUAUUAUUGGGGGAUAGCCUUUGGAAACGGAGAUUAAUACCGCAUAAGACAGUGACAUGGCAUCAUGUAGCUGUUAAAGCUUUGGCGAUAAUAGAUGGGCAUGCGUCCAAUUAGUUAGUUGGUGAGGUAAUGGCUCACCAAGACGAGGAUUGGUAGGUGAUCUGAGAGGAUAAUCCCCCACACUGGAACUGAGAAACGGGCCAGAGUACUACGGGAGGCAGCAGUAGGGAAUAUUGGGCAAUGGACGGAAGUCUGACCCAGCAAUGCCGCGUGCAGGAUGACGGCGUUAUGCGUUGUAAACUGCUUUUUUAUAGGAAGAAGAAGCCCUUGCGAGGGAAAGUGACGGUACUAUAAGAAUAAGCACCGGCUAACUCCGUGCCAGCAGCCGCCGUAAGAC
rnacentral:rRNA from 1 species